CCUACGGGUGGCAGCAGUAGGGAAUUUUCGGCAAUGGGGGGAACCCUGACCGAGCAACGCCGCGUGAACGAAGAAGUUAUUCGUAAUGUAAAGUUCUUUUAACAGGGAAGAAAGAGAAAUUUGACGGUACCUGAAGAAUAAGCUCCGGCUAACUACGUGCCAGCAGCCGCGGUAAUGCGUAGGGAGCGAGCGUUAUCCGGAAUUAUUGGGCGUAAAGGGUGCGUAGAUGGCAUAGUAAGUCUUUUGUAAAAAUGCUGGGCUCAAACCAGUAGGGCAAAAGAAACUGAAAAGCUAGAGUAUGAAAGAGGCAAGAGGAACGACAUGGGUAGAGGUAAAAGGCGUAAAUAGAGGUAAGAACACCAGUGGCGAAGGCGGCUUGCUGGGUCGAUACUGACAUUGAGGCACGAAAGCGUGGGGAGCAAACAGGAUUAGAGACCCGUGGAGUC
rnacentral:rRNA from 1 species